rnacentral:misc_RNA from 1 species
GAUGAAGAACGUAGCGAAAUGCGAUACGUAGUGUGAAUUGCAGAAUUCAGUGAAUCAUCGAAUCUUUGAACGCACAUUGCACCUCUCGGUAUUCCGGGAGGUAUGCCUGUUCGAGCGUCAUUUGUACCCUCAAGCUCUGCUUGGUGUUGGGUGUUUGUUCCGCCUCUGUGUGUGAACUCGCCUCAAAACAAUUGGCAGCCGGCGUACUUGUUUCGGAGCGCAGCACAUUUUGCGAUCCAGAUCAACGUACAGCGGCAUCCAAGAAGCCUUAUUUAACGCUCUUGACCUCGGAUCAGGUAGGGAUACCCGCUGAACUUAAGCAUAUCAAUAAGCGGAGGC